AUGACAUUUGGAGUCGUACUGAAGAGUAAGAAGAGGGGAGACGAUUAAGGUUUAGAAUAUUAAGCGCGUAUUAUCAAACGAGUAAUUAGUUCAAACGACAACCAUGUUCUAUUAAAAUACAGAAACUUUUUCUCCGUGCAUUUCUCGGUGCAAAUCAAGACAGUUUAACGAGUGCAUUAGAUUUUUUUUUUGUUCAAGGACAAAUGGAUUCAUUCUUUGUUAGGCAUUUAUUCAUUAACACAAGUUUAGCUGUUGUACUGUUUAGUGAACAAGGAGAGACAGGAUGGUGGAGAAGAACUGGUGACUGGUUGAAUAAACCAGUUAAAAUACCGUUUGGUAAACGAGAUGCAUCAUUUACUGACCAAAUAGAUGAUCCGCAACUAUCACCAGAAGCGGUUGCAGCAGUCUCAACACUGUAUCUUGAAACAGUUACGGAACUAUUUGCUGUAUUUGAUACUAACAAUGACAACCUGUUAAAUAUUGAAGAAUUCACUGCAAUGGCUGAAUCCCUGGCCGAUGAUAACUAAAUAUACUGAACAAAUUGGUUUUCCUCAUAACACGAAUUGUAUUGAAUUAGAAAAUAAACAUUAAAUUUUA